UAGAUUUUACUUACACAUAGGAAAGUAUAUGGUGGUCAUGUAAAAUGGAAAUAUGCCACUCUUGAUGUUUUCUUCUUUGUGUUACAGAUCUAUGCCUUGAUAGGUCUUCAGUUACUCAUGGUGAAACAUAUAGAGGGAGCCCAAGCCAAGAAGAGAGGUCUGGUAUCAAAGAUUUGCUGAAUUCACAAUUGAAGAGGCUUAUGUCAGUCCCUUAGAAAGAAUUUGAGGACUCCUCGGAAAAUUGCUGAGUUGAGUAAAUAUUUCCUUCCAUAAAGGUAAAUAAGCAUCUCAAGAGCAAGUUUCUACAUUUUGUAUUUCCCUGUUUUAUUUCUGUAAAAUUGUGCAACCAAGAAUUAUGACCUACUGAUAUUAGAAUAAAAUUUGCAGAAGUUUGA
rnacentral:lncRNA from 1 species